rnacentral:lncRNA from 1 species
GAACAGACCCAACCUGUCUCGUUUACAAUCACCUCUGUGCACAUCUUACACUACAGCAAGCUUUGUCGAUUAACAGCCAGACCGCUGUGCUUCCCUCCAACUGAGUGACCUGGAUAGACCCCUGUAAGGUGAGCCCCCCGCCCCGUCUGCCAACACUCAGAUUAGUGCCCUGUCUAUGUAGUUCAUUAAGGAGUUAAAAUCCAAGUAGCAAUAUCUCUUCUAGCUACAGAAUAACUAUAUGCACAUUUAUAUGUGACAAUACUAGUAUGUUUAUUUUAUAAUAUGGUAUUUAUUAUCUGGUAUUAUAUUUGUUUUACAUUUCAUCCACAACUUCUGUAUUGCAACCAGAUUUAAAGAGAAUACAGAAAAUGUGAUUUAUUUUUUGAUGUCACUUGGGGAAGGUUUGUACUCAGUAUUAAAUGGUUUAUUCACUAAACUGUGACUUGUAGGGAGCUGAAAAUAAGGUUUUAGAAUUUAGGCAAAAAGAGACAAUUUGGAAAAAAAAAUCUCCAACUCUUUAAUCAAGUGUGCCAAACUUUUUGCUAUUUGGUUUUAAAUUCGUUAUAAAUCGGUGUUUAGUGAAUUAACCCUUUAUGCUUUACGUGUAUAUCUCGGAACAAAUCUGUACAACUCCUAUAAUUCAGGCCACUUUUGUUUCCACAACAUUUUCAGAGCUGGCAUAGGACUCCCCGAAUCCCUUGUGCUUCAGUUAAAGGAGUAUGUCCUGUCAUCCAAAUUAUCAACUGGUGGUCUUAUGAAGGAUGAGAGUGGUAGUUUAAAAACAAAGAUGCCUAGCUAUGGUAACACCGUCCUCUUCCUGACACAUCAGGUCCAACUAGAGAGUAGGUCAGGCAUAGGCAACCUUCGGCACUGCAGAUGUUUUGGACUCCACCUCCCAUGAUGCUUUGCCAGCAUUAUGUGUGGUAGAGCAUUAUGGGGGAUGUAGUCCACAACAUCUGGAGUGCUGAAGGUUGCCUAUCCCUGGAGUAGGUCCUCCUGGUCAUUAGCCCCAUGUAGAACAGAGAUCAGAGAAAAGCAUAGUGACCCUGUUAAUAAUUAUUAUUACUAUAAUUAAUAUUAAUAUUAGCAUUUAUUCCACAGUGCUUUGCAAUAUUAUAAAGGGGGAAAGUUAACAAUAAAUGAGGCAAUUACUAAAUAUUACAGGAAUAAUAGGUUGAUGAGGACCCUGCUAUAAAGAGUUAACAAUCUAUACAGCUGUUUCCCCCGUUGUUUGAUGUACAACCCCCUCGUCAUUUUUAGUAUCUUGGUAGAAGAUUCUAUAACUGAUAAAAACCAUUGUUAGAAAUAAGUAAAUUGAUAUCCUGCCCUAAAAAUGCUUUUACACCUUACCUUACAUCAGCUGAUUCCUGUUUACUGUGUCAGUACUUGCUAAUUUCUACUGUAGGGAAUAACAAUGUAGGGGACACUGGGGGAACAGAACAAAUAGUGAUUAUAGGGCACUGGGGGAACAGAACAAAUAGUGAUUAUAGGGCACUGGGGAAUAGAACAAAUAGUGAUUAGAGGGCACUGGGGGAAAAGAACAAAUAGUGAUUAGAGGGCACUGGGGGAACAGAACAAAUAGUGAUUAUAGGGCACUGGGGGAACAGAACAAAUAGUGAUUAGAGGGCACUGGGGGAACAGAACAAAUAGUGAUUAGAGGGCACUGGGGGAACAGAACAAAUAGUGAUUAGAGGGCACUGGGGGAACAGAACAAAUAGUGAUUAGAGGACACUGGGGGAACAGAACAAAUAGUGAUUAGAGGACACUGGGGGAACAGAACAAAUAGUGAUUAUAGGGCACUGGGGGAACAGAACAAAUAGUGAUUAGAGGGCACUGGGGGAACAGAACAAAUAGUGAUUAGAGGGCACUGGGGGAACAGAACAAAUAGUGAUUAGAGGGCACUGGGGGAACAGAACAAAUAGUGAUUAGAGGGCACUGGGGGAACAGAACAAAUAGUGAUUAGAGGACACUGGGGGAACAGAACAAAUAGUGAUUAGAGGACACUGGGGGAAUAGAACAAAUAGUGAUUAGAGGACACUGGGGGAAUAGUGCAUAUAGUGAUUACAGGACACUUGAGGAAUAGUGCAGAUAGUGAUUAGAGGACACUGGGGUAUAGUGUGUAUAGUGAUGAGAGGGCACUGAGUUAAUAGUGUGUAUAGUGAUGAGAGGGCACUGAGUUAAUAGUGUGUAUAGUGAUGAGAGGGCACUGGGGUAUAGUGUGUAUAGUGGUGAGAGGACACUGGGGUAUAGUAUGUAUAGUGGUGAGAGGACACUGGGGUAUAGUGUGGAUAGUGAUGAGAGGGCACUGAGUUAAUAGUGUGUAUAGUGAUGAGAGGGCACUGGGGUAUAGUGUGUAUAGUGGUGAGAGGACACUGGGGUAUAGUGUGGAUAGUGGUGAGAGGACACUGGGGUAUAGUGUGGAUAGUAGUGAGAGUACACUGGGGUAUAGUGUGGAUAGUGAUGAGAGGGCACUGAGUUAAUAGUGUGUAUAGUGGUGAGAGGACACUGGGGUAUAGUGUGUAUAGUGAUGAGAGGGCACUGAGUUAAUAGUGUGUAUAGUGAUGAGAGGGCACUGGGGUAUAGUGUGUAUAGUGGUGAGAGGACACUGGGGUAUAGUGUGUAUAGUGGUGAGAGGACACUGGGGUAUAGUGUGUAUAGUGGUGAGAGGACACUGGGGUAUAGUGUGUAUAGUGAUUAGAGGACACUGGGGUAUAGUGUGUAUAGUGAUGAGAGGGCACUGAGUUAAUAGUGUGUAUAGUGAUGAGAGGGCACUGGGGUAUAGUGUGUAUAGUGGUGAGAGGACACUGGGGUAUAGUGUGUAUAGUGGUGAGAGGUCACUGGGGUAUAGUGUGGAUAGUGAUGAGAGGGCACUGAGUUAAUAGUGUGUAUAGUGAUGAGAGGGCACUGGGGUAUAGUGUGUAUAGUGGUGAGAGGACACUGGGGUAUAGUGUGGAUAGUGGUGAGAGGACACUGGGGUAUAGUGUGGAUAGUGGUGAGAGUACACUGGGGUAUAGUGUGGAUAGUGAUGAGAGGGCACUGAGUUAAUAGUGUGUAUAGUGGUGAGAGGACACUGGGGUAUAGUGUGGAUAGUGGUGAGAGUACACUGGGGUAUAGUGUGGAUAGUGAUGAGAGGGCACUGAGUUAAUAGUGUGUAUAGUGGUGAGAGGACACUGGGGUAUAGUGUGUAUAGUGAUGAGAGGGCACUGAGUUAAUAGUGUGUAUAGUGAUGAGAGGGCACUGGGGUAUAGUGUGUAUAGUGGUGAGAGGACACUGGGGUAUAGUGUGUAUAGUGGUGAGAGGACACUGGGGUAUAUUGUGUAUAGUGAUUAGAGGACACUGGGGUAUAGUGUGUAUAGUGAUGAGAGGGCACUGAGUUAAUAGUGUGUAUAGUGAUGAGAGGGCACUGGGGUAUAGUGUGGAUAGUGGUGAGAGGACACUGGGGUAUAGUGUGGAUAGUGGUGAGAGUACACUGGGGUAUAGUGUGGAUAGUGAUGAGAGGGCACUGAGUUAAUAGUGUGUAUAGUGGUGAGAGGGCACUGGGGUAUAGUGUGUAUAGUGAUGAGAGGGCACUGAGUUAAUAGUGUGUAUAGUGAUGAGAGGGCACUGGGGUAUAGUGUGUAUAGUGGUGAGAGGACACUGGGGUAUAGUGUGUAUAGUGAUGAGAGGACACUGGGGUAUAGUGUGGAUAGUGAUGAGAGGGCACUGAGUUAAUAGUGUGUAUAGUGAUGAGAGGACACUGGGGUAUAGUGUGGAUAGUGAUGAGAGGGCACUGAGUUAAUAGUGUGUAUAGUGGUGAGAGGACACUGGGGUAUAGUGUGGAUAGUGAUGAGAGGGCACUGAGUUAAUAGUGUGUAUAGUGAUGAGAGGACACUGGGGUAUAGUGUGGAUAGUGAUGAGAGGGCACUGAGUUAAUAGUGUGUAUAGUGGUGAGAGGACACUGGGGUAUAGUGUGGAUAGUGAACACAAACGCUUGUAAAUAAAUGGAACCGCUCUACAUGUUACACUAUCAUAUUUACGAUGUAUCAAUGUAAAGUAAACCUUGCAAUAACAAUAACGGAUAAACAAACCACUUGAGCACUAGUCUAAAACAUGUUAUCUUGUUUGCACCUGGAAAAGACUGUAUAUGCGCAGUGUAAAUUGAUAUGUUUCUCUGAAGGCCUGCGUGCCUACCUUUAUACCUUUAUCUCUUACUACACUUCAAUAAACAAGAUUUACAAAAAAAAAAAAUAGUGUGGAUAGUAGUGUGAGAAGGCACUGAGGCAUAGUGCGGAACACGGUGAAAGGUAAAGUAGAGAAAAAUUACAAACAGUAGUAACAGGGAUACUUGGAGACUGGCAUAGAUAGUGGCGAGAGGGACACUGUGGAAUAGCGCAGGUUUUUUUACAGUACGAACAGUAAGGGAAGGUGGGUUUAUCAGUACAUUUUCUAAAAUUAAUGUGACAAACCAAUUAUUACAUGAAAACGUAUUGUCAAUUUAUUAUCAAAGUAUAUGAGUGGCUGCAGGCAUAUGAAUGUAAUUGUGUGUAAAUGUUUAAUUGUACGCUUAUGCAAGAGUGCAUUAUUAGGUGUUAAUAAGUUGAUUGUUAUGUAUACGUGGGUGACUAAAAAUGCAUGUGAUUUUUUUGUGUGGCUAUGUAUGUGUCUGAUUUGAUGUGUAAUAUGAGGCUUCAGAGGUUCGGAUUGGUGGGAAGAGUUCAUCAGUUUGCGCUUGGACCCAAUGCCCUUCUUUAAACAGAAAUAUAGAAUUUUGUUGAGACUGAAUCAAUAUACCAUAUAAAAUUACACACACAAAAAAACUCUGUAAUAAAUGUUCUGCCUGGGUAUGCUAACUGAGAAGUUGAUUAAUCUCUUUUGUGAUUAUUCAUUAAGGGUUUUUGUUUUUUUCUGAAAGUCAGGAUUAAAUGGAACUAUGAGGAGUCACGAUUGUCUGAAUUUUACAAAUCUAUCCCUGGAUUCUUGCAAAACAGAGCCCACGCAAAUCAAUCUUAAAUUUCUUGUUCAUUUCAAUUAAAUAGAAAUUAAUCUAGAGUCCUGCUGACUGCAUUAUCCUGUGGUGAAAUCCUCUCCUCAACCCCAUUUCUUUAUACCUUGGGCAGUGGACGGAGGUAACCCAACCCAUUCCUCUGGACCUCCUUAUUUAUUUACAUAUUACUUUAAUUCAUUUGAUUUUCAGCUGAAGCCUGCUUGUUGUUUCCAUCAUUUUUAUAAUUUCCUACAAAAAUCAGAAAAAUAGAAAUCUCAGAAUACCUAAAAUAAUGGAUUCAUCAAGAUUAAUACGAUUUGAGAAAUGUUUAAGUUCCACAACUUUGUAUUGAAUUUUGGCUUCUUUGGAUUUAAUAAUUCAGCAACCGUAGAAUAGAUAUGUAUUAUAUUUGCACAGAUGUGACCAGUAUCUAAAUUGAACCCCAUGUGCUGUUAAUGAAGACUCAAUGUCAAUUUUUGGUUCAAAUUCCACAUUGUUGGUUUCUCUCAGCUCAGGUUUGCUUCUGUUCCGCUAACUUUUUAAUCAGAUUUAAUUUGAUUUUCUGUUUGAAUAACCAUAGUUCAGCACUUUGGAUGUGUUGGACCUCCAAAAAUUAUAACAAUAUUAAUAAGUCAGCGGUAACAUUAAGACCCUCAUCGACCCCAUAUAUAACCUCUAAUCCAAUUGUAUGAUGGAAAUAGUGUCCUCGUUGUAAUUUGAUUUGUGUAAAUAGUAAUGGUUCAUCUUGGGUGCUUAAACAGUCUUGGACAAAAAAAACAAGUCCUGUGCUCAAACUCCCACCACUUCUGGGCGGCAGCAGCAACAAUAGUACACAUCAGCCCCAAUACAUACAGUAAAAACCAAAGGGAAAAAAGUUACCUGCGCUCUCUCCCAAAUCCCUAUGUAUAUUUAAACAAAUGGAGGUUAUUUAGUUACUCCAAUGGCCACUGGAGGGAAUGCACGCCUGCCACGUCAAGGCAAACCUCUCAGGUGGGUCCUACUCUGACCUUUCACCUUGCCUCCUUGACCUUCUGGCAAAAAUAUCUCUAAUGAGACAGAGAGGGGUAUUUUUUCUAUACACCCCUAAAUACUUAUUAAAGGAGCACUAUAGGAUCAGGAACAUAAACAUGUAUUCCUCACGCUAUAGGGUUAAAACCACCAUCUAGCCCCCCCGUGGCCCCUCAUGCCUCCAUAAAUAUAGGAAAUUUUACUUGUAUUCAAGUCUGCAGCUCCUGGCUUUGCCCCUGUUUCCUUUAGACCUGCCCACUGCCUGCUGGCAUCAUCAGAAGUGGUAGCCUGAUCCAAUCACAGUGCUUCCCCAUAGGAUUGGCUGAGACUGACAAAGAGGCAGAUCAGGGGCAGAGCCAGCACAAUUCAAACACAGCCCUGGCCAAUCAGCAUCUCCUCAUAGAGAUUAAUUGAAUCAAUGUAUCUCUAUGAGGAAAGUUCAGUGUCUGCAUGCAGAGGGAGGAGACACUGAAUGUUUGGAUGCAUUUUAGGCAGCCAUGACCCAGGAAGGAUCUCUAAUAGCCAUCUGAGGAGUGGCCAGUGAAGUUAUCACUAGGCUGUAAUGUAAACACUGCAUUUUCUCUGAAAAGACAGUGUUUACAGCAAAAAGCCUGAAGGUAAUGAUUCUACUCACCAGAACAAAUUCAAUAAGCUGUAGUUGUUCUGGUUACUAUAGUUUCCCUUUAACCCUUAAACAGUCUUAUGUCUCACAUGGUGCCCAGCAACAAUUAUCAAGCACAUGCCACAAUGUAACAAAGCCAACGAACCAAACCGCUAACUAUGCUUUAGAUGGGCCUCUUAUUACAAAUGGCUCAAAAACACUACAAGUAUGUGUUUCUUCCCCAGGGAUCAUUCAUUAAACAGUGAUUGGUAUUGAGUUGUCAACCUAGUUCCAAAUUGAAGGUCAAACUGUCAAACAACCUCCAGGUAUUCUCCUAGAUGCGGUUUCUCACAGAGGAGGUAAACAUUUUAAAAUAAAUGGUUUCAUUUUCACUGCACUAAAACGCAUUCUGCGUGUAUCUGCUAAACUGAUAUGGUUCUCUCUCAAAUUAGAGAUUAACGAUGUCAGAUUUUCCUUAAAACAAUUGCAUGGGCAAAACCCGGCCAAAGCAAAACAAAUUUCAGACGGAUGAACUGAUUUGGCUGAACCAAUUUUUUGUCGUGCACAAGUAUAGUAAUGAUAUCCCUCCUUGAGAGAGAAACUAAAUGUGGUUAAUUUCCCCCAACAUCGAAGCAUGAAGCUCUGAGAAAGUUCAAAAUGUUUUAAAAUUUUCUGUCACAUUUUAAUGGUUAAUAACCACUGUGUUUGUGUAGUCUGCGAAAUGAUAUUAAGUGUAGAAACUGACUCUGCUCUAUCCUGGAAGUGAGAACCUCCAUCUUGGCUUCCUGUCAACAAUUGUUAGAAGAGUAAGCCUUCCUUGUCAUUGAACAUAGAAGCUGUGAGAAGAAAACCAGAAACAAAGUUUCUAAUUCUUCUCCUGUAAAUCACUGUGUGCCCUGGAUGUGCCAGGACUAAACUGGACUGUGAUGUAAGUUGCAAAAAUAUUUAAUAUACAAUCAAAAGAAAUGGAGCAUUAAUUGAAUAUAUAUUAUAUAUACAUAUCGGGUUACUUUAGGUUAGUGGUGUCGGACAGCAAUGGGUGUGUAAAACAGGAGCCUUGCUUAUAUGUGUACAAUGGAGUGUUUGUAUUGUAAUCUCGACAGCAAUCACUGGGAGGAAAAGAAUGGUUCCAUAAGCUCAUCACCUCAUAUUAAACUAUUUACCUCUCCCCCACCCCUGUUUACAGGCUAUGGAUGACACAAAUUUCAACAUAUAGAUGUAGAAAACAUGCCAUUGUGUGACAAGUGGUUCAGAAUGUCCCUGUGAUGUGAUGUGUGCAGGUCAAUGAUUAUGAUCAAUGUUAUUAACUGGGGAUACGAAUAGAAAGAAAAUACAAAAUGGUAUAUUCAAACCGCAGAGCUCUGCUUAGGAGAAAUAAAAGCAGGAUUUGAAACAUGACGGCACAAACAGCUGUGUAGAAACAGCGAAAGGAGGUUUUCAAUUUUCUAUUUAGUGAAUAAACCAUCAAAAUAUAUGAAACAGUUUUAGAAAGUAGUUAAGGCGAAAAGACGAUAGAUGGCAACUUUAAGCCAAGGGGCUAGCACAAACAAAUGGCCUUUUUGGAUAUAAAUAUCACAGAAUUCUAUCAGGGAUUAUCAUUAAAGUGAGAAUUGUUAAAGUGAAUUCAAAGUGAACUUUUAAGUGGCAGAAUUAAAAACAAAUCCCCAUGUCAAUAAUGGUUCCAGUUUGGAUAUUCUGUACUCAUUUGAAAUUCAAUUUAACCCACUUUGAAUUUUACGCAGGUGUCUCUAGAAUAAAAAGGAACUCGAUUCAACCUGAGAUUUUUUGGAUUGACAGGUGUGCCUUCAUUAAGAUAUUGGCUUGCCCAAAUAUCUCUACCUGUUUAUAAUCAUACCCUUCUCUUCCAGCAUAACACAAUCAAUGGGCACAUGACGGGAUAGCAACUUUGUUAUUAACGCUAAUCAUAAGCCUUGGUGGGAGCCAGAUCUUAUCACCAUGGCAACUUUACAGUUGUUUAAGUAGCCAGAUAUAACAAAAUAAUAGUGUCAAUGAUAAUAUUUAAUUAGGCAGUCAGAUUGAAGACGUCUUCUAAAACGUUAUAUAUUUAUAUACAUUUUGUACCAUUUUCAGCUUUAGUUUAAACCCUUUAUAACUGACACAAUGAUCUAGAUUCACAAUAAACCAAAUCAACACCAUUGUGUUUCAAUGCAAAAAAAAGAAAAUAAUGGGCAAGAUUUGCAAAGUUCUAGAUUGGUUGCUUGAUGGCCAAGUUCUAAAAACAUACUGUAUUGUUUUACAUUUCUCUGUCAAUCCACCAUCGAGCAAUAUAUCCAGUGUUGCACACUAUGUUGGUGCUAUGUAAAUAAAUGAUACUUUAAUCUAUUUUCUAACACUGAUCGUUAAAUUAAAUAGAUACUUUCAGGGUUAUUAACUAAAGUGAGAAUUCGAUGCGGAUCUCAAAUUUAAGGUCAAAAUUGCCAGCCUUGCCUACCACGAACAUAUGCCAUGUUUACAGAGGAACUGUAACAUUCUGGGUUAUUCUGGCACAGCCUGGCACAUGAUGCAGAUUGCAAUGUCUAUGCAUUUCCUUUUUGAACCCAAAGACAGGAAGUCAUGAAUAAAUCACGUUUUCUGUACAGUGCCGACAGCAGGGUGCAUUUUAUACUUACCCCUGGGGCACAACACACCAUAGUAAACACUUCAGAAGUGUCACAGCUCCUCAUUUAGUUAAAAUGUUUAAUCAUAACAAAAUAAUGUUUUAGCGUGUUAAGAAAUGUAUAUAGUAAAUUCUUGCCAUUAUUUUCAUUGUUACUAUUAAAAAUAUGUUGCAACAUAGAAAAAUAAGAAAAAUAUUUCCAAUCCCUUACAUUCUGAAUUUGGUAGCAAACUAUGUAGGGAUAUUCUUUAAAAUGUAUUUGUCAAGCCAAAUAUGAAUGAUGUCACUUUAAAGAGCAUAUCAUGUAUCAGUACAUUGUGUUAGACAAGCUACCGGCAAAUAUAUAGAUGGAAAAUUGUUUAGGGCUAGAGUCUAUUAGAUGAGAUAAGUUUAUCUCUUUUACUGAAUAGCAUUUUUGUUAAGUCAAUGGAAAAAAAAAAACUAUUUAAUUACAGAUAAAUCUAUGUCACGUAUUAGAAUUUAACCCUUUUGGCUGUAUUUCUGUGCUGUUGGCAUGGCAGUAAUGGCUAUAUCUAAGGUUUUUGUGAGCAACUAUCAAAAAUCAUGGAAAAAAGUGCUGUUAAAAUAUUGCCGCAGGAAGCCCACAGGCUUAUUCAAUAAAACUGGAAUUGUGAAGAAUUGAUCAUUUAGGGCAAAAUAGCUGAAUUAGAGAAAUACAGAUCCCCCCACCCUCCAGUUCAGUUAGUUUUAACUAGAAUUACCUUCUCAAUUCUCCACAAUACCCAGCCUUGAAUCCUUAAUAUCAGUACCCUAAAUAUCAUUUUUUUUAAGUUAACAAUUACCACUACAAGCCAGUAAAAUCUAUUACUAUCCAAAACAAAUUAUGCAACAAAUCAGAUACACAUGCUGCAAAUCUUAUCAUGUAAGAGUGAUAUUGCAAAGAUAACUUAUUCACAUGUUUCUUCUCAUAGGGAAUGAUAGAAUCUGUAACACAGAGCCAAUUAAUGCCAUCGUACUCUGAUGCACAGUUCUCCUGGAUGGACUUGUUCUGUUCUGACAUUUAUCCUGCAUAUCGAGAUCCACCAGGUAAGGAUUGAAUGUGUCUA